rnacentral:lncRNA from 1 species
CUUGGGGCUAGAAAAGCCACCCCGCCCGCAGGAAAGCAAGGGACAGCUUGGCGGGGUGCACUGUGUCCCUGGACAUCCUGGCUGCGGUCGCAGAGGCGCCCUGCAGGAAAGCAGCUGGGCCUGCAGCAGGAGCCUGGCACUUGCCCCUGCCUGUGCCCCUCCGCCCACCACCACUGAAACUAAGAGCUGGACCAAAGACCCACCAUGGGGCGGAAGCCACCCCUCCGCUCCUCCCCGGCUGGCAGGCCCAUCGCCGAAGUCCACCUACCUGCUGCCGGCGGAGAACCAGACACGGCGAGGGUCAGAGGCUCCGGGCUGGGGCGGUGCAGUGAGUGGCUAGACCAUGCCCCUGCAAGACAGGAAGGGUCACAUGGGUCACACUGUCCCUCUGGCUGCUCUGC